UGGGGUAUGGUGUAAUUGGCAACACGGCUGAUUCAGGUUCAGUUGCUCUUGGUUCGAGUCCAGGUACCCCAG
rnacentral:tRNA from 1 species